rnacentral:misc_RNA from 1 species
GUAUGGGCAUGUUGGAUCCCUGCUCGGGCAGCGACGGCAUCUCACCCACGACUCUUCAGUUGUUGGCUCGAGCACUUGCUCGAUCGAUGUUGGCUUUCCUGUGCUGAGUACCUAUCGCGAAGGCAUUCCGUCGGCUAUGGUUAUCUAUUUCCCGCUUUGUACUGCCGCUCCCUGUGGGCAAGCGGUGCGGGGUGGGCUGAAUAGCGCACGUCGUGUAUUGCACUGUGUUUGUCUCUACGGGUGUUCGGGUUGACAAUCCACGACGUGAUGCUCGCUGUCUCGGGUACGGAACAUUAUGUGGGUAUGAGGCCGUCGGUCUCCUAGCACCACGAACAAGCGUUCUACGCUUCGUGCGGACGACGGUUGGUUCGGUCUUUGGCCGUGCUCUUGUGGCUCGGU